UACGUAGGGCGCAAGCGUUGUCCGGAAUCAUUGGGCGUAAAGAGCGUGUAGGCGGCCCGGUAAGUCCGCUGUAAAAGUCAAAGGCUCAACCUUUGAAUGUCAGUGGACACUGCCGGGCUAGAGUCCGGAAGAGGCGAGUGGAACUCCUGGUGUAGCGGUGGAAUGCGCAGAUAUCAGGAAGAACACCAACGGCGAAGGCAGCUCGCUAGGACGGUACUGACGCUGAGACGCGAAAGCGUGGGGAGCGAACAGG
rnacentral:rRNA from 1 species